UACAUGUGGGGCAAGCGUUGUUCGGAAUUACUGGGCGUAAAGCGCACGUAGGCGGAUAUUUAAGUCAGGGGUGAAAUCCCAGAGCUCAACUCUGGAACUGCCUUUGAUACUGGGUAUCUGGAGUAUGGAAGAGGUGAGUGGAAUUCCGAGUGUAGAGGUGAAAUUCGUAGAUAUUCGGAGGAACACCAGUGGCGAAGACGGCUCACUGGUCCAUUACUGACGCUGAGGUGCGAAAGCGUGGGGAGCAAACAGG
rnacentral:rRNA from 1 species